GACUUGGGGUGCAUUGGUGGAAUUCUCGCCUGCCACGCGGGAGGUCCGGGUUCGAUUCCCGGCCAAUGCA